GACGAACGCUGGCGGCGUGCCUAAUACAUGCAAGUCGAACGGGGCAGUUUCGCAGAAGCCUUCGGGUGGACGUGGGACUUGCCUAGUGGCGGACGGGUGAGUAACGCGUGGGCAACCUGCCCUUUAGCCCGGGAUAACUUCCGGAAACGGGAGCUAAUCCCGGAUGCAGAGCGAGGAUCGCAUGGUCCUUUCUCGAAAGCUUCGGCGCUAAAGGAUGGGCCCGCGUCCCAUUAGCUAGUUGGUAGGGUAACGGCCUACCAAGGCGACGAUGGGUAGCCGGCCUGAGAGGGUGAACGGCCACACUGGGACUGAGACACGGCCCAGACUCCUACGGGAGGCUG
rnacentral:rRNA from 1 species